AACAUCACAACUUCUGACCCAAUCUACUACUGCCUUAAGCAUACCAGGCCAAAAGAAAUGCCUGUUAAGUCUCACUGAAGUGACAUUAAUUCUUAUGUAUCCUCCUAAUUGUGAGUUGUGAUAGAAAGCCAAUAAAUGCUCCCUCAAAUUCUCUAUUCUACCUGGAUAAAGUCUGUCUUUCUAAAACAAUAGUCCAUCUUUCAAAGAGUACCCAGG
rnacentral:misc_RNA from 1 species